GUCCUAUAAAGAUGUAUUAACGCGAGACAGUUGGGCAUAUCCCUUUAGGAUGAAGUUUAUCAGAAGCUUUGAUGAUAAGUCUUGUUGCGUGGCUACGGUCGAAACAAGGUGAGUCAGGGUGGAAUAGGUUAACUGUAAGACCUUGAGCUGGAAAACUCUAAAAUUGACCUAGAGAUACAAAAAAAACACACAGAAAUGUUUUAGUAUCUAUAGUUACGGUAAA
rnacentral:ncRNA from 1 species